CUCUCACACAUUUGAUUUUCAUUGGAUUUUGGUACAUGACAGGCAAUUCAAAUAAGUUGAACUUGAUCCAUGGUGCAGGGAUCUUGAUGGAAACUCUCUAUCUCGAAGAGUCCCUGUGAAACUCAAGAGGACGGCCUCUCCAUAGAGCUAGCUUCAAGCAAGUUGUCAUUUAUAAGAAUGAUUACUAACUUAUGAGGCCAUAUUUAUCUUUCCUUUCAAUUAGUGAAAAUAUAAUGCCUGAGGUAGUCCAUGACAAUUGACAACUACUAUUCAAGAGUUAGACUAGUGUUAUUAGUUUGGCAUCACUUUCAAAAUGGUGGUGACUCAUCCAUUGGGCAUGUGGCAUCCAUGUAAGUCCAUAAUGACUAAGUCAUGAUGCCAUUGUGGACGGACCAUAGAGGCUGAAAGUCACACUGAUCAGAAGAUCAUAACCAUCCAAUGAUCAAUGGCUCAAGUGAGUUGUUCAAACGAUGAUGGUUAAGAUUAUCAAAUACGCUUAUUCUCAGCCUUAUACUCCAUUCAUGAUCAUGGUGGGUUGUGACAGUUUGACGACUGGGUUUCAGUAGCAUAUUUUUUGUGUGUACACUGGAUGUGAGUCAGCAUCAUUUUGAUAAUGAUGAACUAUUGAUGUAGUGUAGCCUAAUUUUUAAUAGCUUAUGUUGUGUAUUAUUAAAAUCACUGUUUAACAUGUAUAGUUUUACCAGCAAUGCAAGCCUUUGUGGUAUACCGGGGCUACCUACGUGUGGGCCUCACCUCUCCACUGGCUCUAAGGUUGGCAUUUCGUUGGGGGCAUUUAUAGCACUUGCACUUAUUUUAUGCUGGUGGAAAAGACGACAGAAUAUUCUUCGAGCUCAGAAGCUUGCUGAUUGCAUUGUGGAAUAUGCAUCCAUUAUUCAAAGAAAGGGCGACAUUCCAAGCACUCACACUUUCUCUCCUUGCUAGCUAAAUUGGUUGACAAGCUAAAGAAGUCAGUGGAGGAUGAAAUUCAUUUUCUCAAGGGAAAGGUUUCAGAACUUGAAAGUGAUCUUGUGUCGAAGUCCACAGAAGUUACAUCUGCAGUUUCAAGGAAAGAAGAAGCUCUAUCUUCUGCAUUUGUUGAAAUUGACCGUCUGAAGGAAGAAAAUUCUAUAAAAACAUGAGCAUUAUUGAAUGCAUAUGGAAGGUGUUUACUGUGUUGGAGUGUAUUUGUUUCUUGCACAUGAGGGCACGCCUUAGUUAUAAUUCUUAUUAUUGGUUGAGCAAAGUGAAGUAUUGUUUAUUUAGAAAUGUGAAUGUA